ensembl:lncRNA
GUGACAUCAUCAAUGUAUAAUACAGGUCAAAUUGUUACGAGUUUUAGUUAAAAUUACUAUAGUUCCCUUUUUCAGUGUUAAAGGACAGUUAAAAUAAACCAAAGCAAUUGAAAAUCUCACAAAGAUCAAAAAGAUAUAUAUAUAUUUUUUUAUAAAUAAUCCAAAUACUUUGUUUUAUGCUAAAUAUUUUAGAAAUGUUAUUUUAUAACAACACAAUUUCUUACAGGAUGUUUAAAAAUAUUUUUAAAGUAUUUCUCUUUCUCCCACAAUUUGGGUCUGAUGUUCAUCAGGUAAGUUGAUAAAGAACAGAAAUCUAAUGUAUAGCAAUGUCCAGGUAGCAAUUGGUGUUACCUGCCUUGCUCAGGGACAAAAAGACGGAAUUUUCACCUUGCUGGCUCCAAGAUUUGAUCAAGCCAACUAUUGUUUACUGGCCAGACGCUCUAAAAAAUAGGUUACCUGCCACUCCCUAGUCUAUACACCACUCCUCAAUACAGACCCUUGAUGGCCUUGAUUCUGGUCUUCUGGACUGCCCCUUUGAAUUCAAAACACAGGUUUUCAAUAAAGUUUUAGCCCAGAAACCGAGAUUGCCAUUGCACAAUAUCAAUUAUUUAUGUCAACGAAACAUUUCCAUCCAUUUGUGGAUUUUGAUGUGUGCUUGGUGUCAUGGUUUUUCUGAAUCCUCCAACUUUUAUCCUCCUACUGGAUGCAACUUAAAUUUUUGGGGGCCAAAAUGUUCUGGUAAUUGGUAGAGUUUAUUAUGCCUUUGACCUUAACUUACAAGAAGUGCCUGGGGUUUGCAAAAUGGUAUUGCCACUUAUAUUGGAAGCAGGUGCUAUGGUCAGAUGAGACAGAAAUAUAGCACUUCAGCUAUGCACACAAGUGGGUGCUUUGGCCUGGAAAGAAAGAUGCAAAACCCUCAUAUCUACUGAAAAAUAUGGUGGUAGAUCUUUGGGCAAUUUUGCUUCCACUGGUCCAAUUAGAAAACUCCCUGUGUUUAUAUUUGUUCAUUGCUCUCAAUAACAUUUCCAAUCUAGCCCGCAUUCUAUGGCCUAGCCAUCCCAAGCUUCCAAUUGGCAAAUUUAGUCCCUCUCCAUGCAACAAUUUCCCAGGUCAUUGCUGUAAAUGAGAAUAUGUUCUCAGUUGACAUACCAUGCUAAAGUAACAAUAAAUAAAUAAUAAAAGUAUUUUUUCAUGGCAACCUUUUCUGAUAGCGUAUUAGCAUUGAGCCAUAAUAACAGUUGUUUUUAAGACUUGGUGAUGUGACCAAUUUCUGUUAUAACUACUGCACUUAGACAUAUUGUACCGCUCCUCCAGUGGUUUUAAACAUGUUUAUAAGUAGCACCUAAUAGUAGCUAAUAGUGUUACACGUUUUAUUUUGUUUUUCAGCUGUUUGUUGUUAUUUCUGGAAGUCCUUUUAUUUCUGAAAGAAUCUUCUCCUUUCUUCAGUUUUUGUUUUGCCAUGUGCCAUAGAUUUGAGUUAGAUGUCAAAUCCUCAUGAAUUUGACAUACCGUAUUAGUAUACUGCAGUAAAACACGGAGCCAUGGAAGGCCACAAUUGAGAUUAACUCUCAGAAAAAACUGAAUGUUAAUGCAGAUUACACAUUUGUAGGAAAGGAAACAAAAAAAAUGGAACCCUAUUUAGUAUUAAACAAAAUAAUUUCCCAAUUGUCCAAGUACCAGGAGAUUUUUAUUGUUUAAUAGUCAUUUUUGCUAAUCUUUAUCACAGGUUCUAAUCAUACCAUAAUCUGGGCAGCAGAAGCAGUGGUAGAUGAUUCAUGUGGAUUACUCCUUAGGUUAAGUCUUUGAAGCUGUCAUUGCACCCUCUCAUCCAGGGUAAGAGCAGAGUAACCUCCAUCUCCAUCAUCCUCUCAUCCAGGGUUAUAGCAGAGCAACCUCCAUCUCCAUCAUCCUUUCAUCCAGGGUUAUAGCAGAUCAACCUCCAUCUCCAUCAUCCUCUCAUCCAAGGUUAUAGCAGAGCAACCUCCAUCUCCAUCAUCCUCUCAUCCAGGGUUAUAGCAGAGCAACCUCCAUCUCCAUCAUCCUCUCAUCCUUGGACAUGCAUCAAGAACAUUACAAGGAUAACCUGCAGAUAAACACAAAAUACAUUACAGAACAUUACAAGGAUAACCUGCAGAUAAACACAAAAUACAUUACAGAUUUAUAUUAAAUACACUAUAGCAUUUCAUGCUUGGGGUCUUGCUGCCCUCCAAGUAAUGUCAAUACUUAGUAAUUCAUUAGGUAAAUACCGGCUUGUGUACAGAGUGAAACAAGGCAAAUCUCAAAUAUGUGUAACAAACAAGUAAGUAAUUAAUUAUCAGUUCUCAUAUUUUAAUAUGUGUAGUUGGAUGCUUUUCAUGUGCAUUAUCAUAUUGAUUUAAGAAGUACUUUUUAUAUUGUUCAUUUCUAGGGUGGAAAUGUACAGGACAUCCGGAGCCUGAAAACAAGAUGUUUAGAAACCUAUUCUUAGCCCAUUCUCGCAACCCAAGCCAUGUUACUUGUGGUGUGAAGCCAUGUUACCUUUUUUUUAAAUGUGUGGUAUCAAAACAACUGAUUGAGUGAUUGAUAGAGACAGCGAGCAGGUGUGGCCAACCAGCAAACAG